GGAGGAGUGGCCGAGUGGACGAAGGCAGCGGUCUUGAAAACCGCAGCACGAAAGUGCCGGGGGUUCGAAUCCCUCCUCCUCCG
rnacentral:tRNA from 1 species